rnacentral:lncRNA from 1 species
UCUAGGUGAAGUUGAUUGGUCAUUUUAGUUUAGAUGAACAUUGCUCUAGGUUAUUGUUCGUUUCCUUGAUCUGUGGCUACUGCAAAGUUUGUAAAUCAGUGUUGAUGUGCUAGUCUUAACCAAUAUGUGGCAUGAGGAUGCUGUUCGUUAAUGUUUGGGAAUUGUUAUCCUUGAAGUAUGUAGAGGCGUAAUUUUAAAUGUGAAACCCAUAUACAAUGACAUUUUGAUUUAGUCCUGAGUUUUGUCCAUAAGAGUGAGAAGGUUGGUACUUUAUUUGUCUUGUGUUCUGAAUCUGUUACUUCGUGCUUAUAUUUUUGUGGAUUAGGGGAACUUUCAGUUUGCUUGGAAGUGCUGAUGUCCUGAUAAUGUGUUGUGAUAUACUACCUCUGUUUUCUGAAUACAAGACGUUUUGACAGUUAAGAUUGAAUUGCCAAAACAUCUUAUAUUUAGGAACUGAGUGUAAUAGUUUGUUUCACAUUUUUCAGUUGGGAUACUGAUGUCCUGAUAAUGCAUUGUGAUGUACUCCCUCUGUAAAGAAAUAUAAGAGUGUUUAGAACACUAAAUUAAACACUUAUAUUUAGUGUUCUAAACACUUAUAUUUCUGUACAGUAUUUAGUGUUCUAAACACUCUUAUAUUUCUUUAUAGAGGGAGUAGUUUUUUCACAUUUUUCUGCUGGGAUACUGAUGCAUUAGGUGGUGUAGUCAAUCGACUUCUGUUUCUUUUGUCACUAGUCAUUGUCUCCCCUGCAUUGUACAUUUUUUUCUUCGAAUUGAAGAGCAUAGCUCCCAAUUUUCAUUCAUCAUGAAAGCUGAUAAUACAGCUGCUGCGAGAUCGACCUCCAAGGUUCGAUCAAGUUCCUUACAUAGCAAACAAGAACAUAAAACUUCAACAGCAGCAUCUGCGCUAGACCUACAUGCACACAUGCCUCAACAGCUAAAACAGAGUGAAACUUCUCUUAUUACAUCAAACAAAAGCCACUCCAGGAGACUAAAAUGCACAGUCCACUGCAUCACUGGUACCGCCUUUGUCUUUAUAUUCCAAAAGCACAACUAAACACGCCCCAUGCAAAGUGUAAACAAAUGUUCAAUUGUUCCCUCAUGAUCAUAGAACCCCCCCACCCCAAAACAAGUUGUCCCUGGUUAGAUUACUGUUCUUAAACAUGAGGCAGAGAAAAAAAUAUUAUCCAAAGGAGCUUUUACAAACCAUAAGUUCAUAAAGGGUCAUUUCACCUGUAAAGCUUUAAGCAAUAAAUACAGGGACUUAGUAGAAAACAUACUAGAAGAUGUUAAAGUCCAUAUACAUCUACCUCUAUCAUAGUAUCAUCAGUUAAAACUAUCCCAACACACAAAUAUUGUAAUUGUUGACAAGCCACAGCUAAAUCUCCUCUCAAGCUCCUUCUGAAAUGAAUACUGCCCAAUCCCUCCUCAAUCAUUCUUGCUACAGUAAUAUUAAAACUUACAUUUACACUAUAUAAACUACGGAAUUUAAUGCACAGAGCAGUACCUCCUAACUUUUGUCCUAUCAAAAUCUACAAUUACCCACUUUUAUCUUUACAAACUUGUAAAAAAUAUUCCAACUCAAAACUCCAUGAAUGGGACCCCACUGGAUUACUUUUAACAUGAACCAACAUAUUUACUACAAUAUUUUUUUCUAACUAAAUCCUGCCAUAAUCCAUACUCAAUUUUCAGCUUCCACAACCACUUGCUAAUUAAGCAGAUAUUCAUUUACUUUGUGCAAAUGCCCUUUUGGAAUAGUAAACAUAGGCAUCAUGAGAUAUAAGGUACAUUACUUAAGCAAAAACGUAGUAAAACCAAUUUAUCCCCAUACGACAUCAUCCUUCCUGCCAAGUCCCCAGUUUACCUCCAUCUUAUCCUCUACCUUCAACUCGCGCCGCGGGGCCACCGCGCGCCGUCGGCGGCCGCGCACCGACAUCCAGUGCAAGAAUCGCGUCGACACGCUCAAGAAGAAGUACAAGGCCGAGCGCGCCCGCGGUGGGCCCUCCGCCUGGAACUUCUACGGCGAGCUCGACCGCCUUGUCGGCCCCACCCUCUCCGCCUCCGCCGCCACCAAGAAGCACCCCUCCUUCGGGCUGCCGGCCCCUCACUUCGCCCUGCCACUCCAUCCUUCCGCCGCAAGGAGGCACCCGUCGCCCUCGUCUUCGCCGUCCCCGCCUCCGCCCAUGGCUCUGCCGCUGUCCAACUACCGCCACGGGGUACCUCUCCCUGCCGCCGCGUUUAUCCAGCAGGCCGCCGCCGCCGCUGCCGCGAUUUCUGAUUCAGACGACUCUAGUGAUCUCGGUGACAAUAACAACAUCAACUCGCAUCAGUCACCGUCCCACUUCGUUUCAUCGCACUCCGGGGGUAACAACAAGCGCCGCCGUAGUACCGAAAGCAGCGAUGGUGGCGAUGGUGGUGUCGGCGAGCUAGCGAGAGCGAUCGAGGCAUUUGCAGAGAUGUACGAGCGCGUCGAGAGUGCCAAGCAGAAGCAGUCCCUGGAGAUGGAGCGAGAAAGGAUUGCCUUCAUGAAGCAGCUGGAGGUGAAGCGCAUGGAGAACUUCGUCGAUGCACAUGUGAAGCUCGCAAGAAUGAAGCAUGCCAAGAAGAACGAAGGUUAUGCAGCCAAUGGUACCAUUGGAGUCGAGUUGGCUUCCUCCAUGGCUGCGCUGCCUUUCCUCUCCAACCCUGCAUACCUCUAAUGUUGAGGAAGCCUCUAGGUAAAGUUGAUUGGUCAUUUCAGUUUAGAUGAACAUUGCUCUAGGUUAUUGUUUGUUUCCUUGAUCUGUGGCUACCGCAAAGUUUGUAAUAUCAGUGUUGAUGUGCUAAUGUUAACCAAUAUGUGGCAUGAGGAUGUUGUUCAUUAAUGUUUAGGAAUUUGUAUCCUUGAAGUAUGUAGAGGCGUAAUUUUAAAUGUGAAACCCAUAUACAAUGACAUUUUGGUUUACUCCUGAGUUUUGGCCUUAAGAGUGAGAAGGUUGGUACUUUAUUUGUCUUGUGUUCUGAAUCUGUUACUUCAUGCUUAUAUUGUUGUGGAUUAGGGGAACUUUCAGUUUGCUUGGA